AUGACCAAAGACCCGUUCUCUCUUUCGUACCCGCUGCAGCCUGCUAACGAUGUGGUCCUCCUCUCCAUUAGCCGCGACGAUCUUGGAGGGAUGGAUGACGUGCUGUCGCAGAUUAGCGAGGCGUUCCGGCUCGCCGGCGAGCUCAUGGGUGAGCUCCAGGCCACCCAGAACGGCCCGGCCUACAUCGCCGCACGCUGCCACGGCAUUGUCCAUGCCUACAACAGAGCCAUCCGCAUGCUGCAGCAGUACGGCGUGGGCGACGUGGCCGCAGCCGCGCCACGUGAGCUCGAGGCCGGGUCGAUGGACAUCCUGCGCCUGGGCAGCACGGGCGAAGGCGGCGCUAGCCAGUUUCUCGGAGAGACUCCGGCGCAUUUGGCCCACCGGAAGGAGCCAUUCCACAUGCCGGCCGGCGUGUUCGGUGCGCGAGUGGCGCCACAGCAUACGAUGUGCGCGGGGGCGGGCGUCGCCGGCACGUCCGGUGGCCCGAUGAGGAGGCUGCCGUCGUCCAGGUCUCCGCCAGCGGUCCAGCCACGGCAGGGCAGGAGGAGGUACGUACGCGAGCCUGUGCUUUGUUCUGGCAAUCGUUGCAUUUUGGGGGUCAACGGUUCAAACGCGCAGACCAUUUACCACGUCAUGCCCCAGAAAUGCCAGCGAAUUUUCCUAGUCCCCCGCAGCGAACGUUCACUGCGACAGCGGCGUAGGGGCGAAUUGCUCGGCGAGUCAUUGGGCGUCAAGAACUAG
rnacentral:rRNA from 1 species